rnacentral:rRNA from 1 species
UACGUAGGGUGCGAGCGUUGUCCGGAAUUAUUGGGCGUAAAGAGCUCGUAGGCGGUUCGACAAGUCGGAUGUGAAAUCUCCACGCUCAACGUGGAGGGGCCAUUCGAAACUGUCGUGACUUGAGUCCGGUAGGGGAGUGUGGAAUUCCCGGUGUAGCGGUGAAAUGCGCAGAGAUCGGGAGGAACACCCGUAGCGAAGGCGGCACUCUGGGCCGUGACUGACGCUGAGGAGCGAAAGCGUGGGGAGCAAACAGG